rnacentral:rRNA from 1 species
GUGAGGAAUAUUGCGCAAUGGAGGCAACUCUGACGCAGCCAUGCCGCGUGCAGGAAGAAGGCGCUACGCGUUGUAAACUGCUUUUAACCGGGAAGAAACCCCAGGACGUGUCCUGGGUUGACGGUACCGGAGGAAUAAGCACCGGCUAACUUCGUGCCAGCAGCCGCGGUAAUACGAAGGGUGCAAGCGUUAUCCGGAUUCAUUGGGUUGAAAGGGUGCGUAGGCGGAGCGUUAAGUCAGUGGUGAAAUCCUGCAGCUUAACUGUAGACUUGCCAUUGAUACUGGCGCUCUUGAGUGCGCUUGAAGUGGGCGGAAUGUGCCGUGUAGCGGUGAAAUGCUUAGAUAUGGCACAGAACACCAAUUGCGAAGGCAGCUCACUAAGGCGAUACUGACGCUGAGGCACGAAAGCGUGGGGAUCGAACAGGAUUAGAUACCCUUGUAGUCC